rnacentral:misc_RNA from 1 species
GCAAACUUGGUCAUUUAGAGGAAGUAAAAGUCGUAACAAGGUUUCCGUAGGUGAACCUGCGGAAGGAUCAUCACUGAUUCGGGGGGCGUGGGUGUGGGAAACCACGCCUGCGUGUCCCAACCAAUCUUGUGUGAACCGUAACGAGCACUACGUGUGAAGAGGGUUGGCGGUACGGGGAGACCCACCGCCACCAUCACACGAGUAUUAUCUCCUUACAAUCUUGCCUAACAUUACACAUACUAAAUUACACAACUUUUAACAAUGGAUCUCUUGGCUCUCGCAUCGAUGAAGAACGCAGC